rnacentral:lncRNA from 1 species
UUAUAGUCUAUUUUUCUUUUAUUAAUCCAAUCCUUAAUCCAUCUUUUCUUCUUGUUUAUCGAGGAUCGUACAUUAAAAUUUAUUUUCAAAAAAGAUUAUUCUUCCUAAAAAAGAUUGAAAUUUAUUAGUUAAUAGUUUGUUUUCAAAAUUUAUUUUCACAAGUUUUAAUAUAAAUCUAAAAUAUAAUAAAAAUCUUAAACGAAUAGAAUCGUUUUUCGAAUUUUAACUAAGAUUUGGAUUCGGUUCAUUUAAUUAAAUGAAUCCGGUUCGCUUAACUAAUCUAAUUUGAAUCGUUUAUCGAAUUUUUUUGUAUCCCUAGAUUUCACUCUCACUCCAAAUCCAAAAUUGUAAACCCUAUCUUUGAAAAUAAAAAUCCGACACCGGAGAUUGACCAGUUUAGAACUUUUUGAACCGAGUUGGUUUUGAUAAUAUAAUUGACAAAUGGGUCGGACUAAAGCCGUAAGAAGAUACGUUGGUUUCCUUUUCUUCUGCUUAUGUCAGUUGUGUAGUCGGUCCAUGAAAUUGAAAUACCAAAGAACGGAUGGUCUGGUAACUAUGAUACCAUGAGACUGAUAAGAAAGACUGUGACGGCGCUUAUAGAGAUGUGAUGGCGCUUAUGAGUCGGGUAUUAUUAAAAGAGAUGUGAUGGCGCUUAUAGAGGAUUUCUUCGACGGACGUGGUUCCUUAAAGCACAUCAACCAUACAUUCAUCACUAUCAUUCCUAAAUUUCCAGAGGCCUCGCAUAUCCGAGAUUUCAGACCCAUCUCUGGGGUAAACACUAUUUAUAAAAUCAUAUCUAAGUUAUUAGCAAACAGGAUUGGGCUAGUUACUCCAGAGCUACUUUCAGGCAAUCAAGCGGCUUUUACAAAGGGUAGAAUCAUAUCUGAUAAUGUCCUCCUUGCGGAGGAAUUGUUAAGAGGAUUUAAACAGAAGGCAGCAGCCAGACGAGUGUGUAUAAGCCUUGAUAUCACUAAAGCAUUCGACUCAAUUAGCUGGGAAGCGAUUCGCAAAACUCUGGUCAGCAUGGGUUUCUCAGGGGCACUGGUCAGACUAAUCACUCAGUGUAUCUCGACUGCGACCUUUUCCAUCCUUAUCGAGGGGGAACCUUCAGCGCAAUUUAGUAGUGGAAGAGGACUUCGGCAAGGAGACCCACUUUCACCGAUCCUCUUCAACCUAGUUAUGGAGAACCUUUCGCAAUCAUUGCAUCUUGUUGAAAAAUGUGGAGAAUUGGAUACCUUCGUUAUGGGGGGAGCUAUCUCUCCAACGCACCUCAUUUUUGCUGAUGAUGUGUUAUGCUUUGCAAAGGCAAAUAUCAAAUCGAUGAGGGCAGUUAAAGCAGUGCUGGAUGAUUUCACAAAGAAUUCAGGAUUGGAAAUUAACUGUUCCAAGAGUUCGAUGAUAUUCUCCAUCUCAUGUGAGCAGAUCAAGGAUGACCUAUUGCAGCUGAUGGGGUUUCAGGAAAGCUUUUUACCACUUAAAUACCUAGGGGUGCCUCUAAUUGGGCGGGACGUAAAAGGUGCGGACUGCGUUCCGCUAAUCGAUCAAUUAAAUUCGUAUCUACAAAAAUGGAAAAAUAGAGUCCUGUCUUAUGGAGGAAAAGUUCAGCUAGCUAACUGGGUCCUAGUGGGCAAGCUACAAUACUGGUUUCAAUGUCUCAAAAUUCCCAUGACUGUGAUCAAAAAAGCACGACAAAUUAUCUAUCAGUUUAUAUGGGGGGACUCUAAAGGUAUGGCAUGGAACAGAAUGAUUAUGGCUAAGGAGGACGGGGGCCUAGGACUGGCGGAUCCGGUGUUACUCGUCAGAGUUGCUAGGGUCAAAUGGGCUUAUAGAAUCUGGAAUGGGGGAUCUCCAUGGGCGAUUUGGAUGCGGGCACGCUAUCUCAAAGGGAGAGAGCUGGGGGAAAUCCAAUUAUGCUCCAAGGAUUCUCCGAUAUGGAAAAGCAUACUGAGAGUCAAAGAUGAUAUUAAUCUAUGCUACCCUGCAGGGCUGGAUUGCACAGUCAAUGGUAGUAUAAAAACGAGCCUCUUAAGAGCAAAACUAUCACCGCCAGCCGUCGUUGAUCCUCUGGCUAUAGGAGUGUGGACAUGUCGUACUUCUAAGAUGGCCUUCUGUCUAUGGAGACUAAGAUGGGGCAAGCUAAGAACAUUCGAUAAAUUGAGGUCGUGGGGGAUAGUGGUUCCAGCAAAGUGUGUCCUAUGUGACACAGUUGAGGAAUCGACAGCUCAUUUAUUUUUCAAUUGCGAAUUCAGCUGGUCUCUUUGGAACGAAUUUAUAAGGUUGACAGAUAACGCGCUAUGGAAACUUAUGGGUAUCACGGAAAUAAAGCUAGGGGAUAUAAGAGUGGGUGAUAUCAUGGAGGGGAUAUCCAAAUUCAGAAAAUCAGCACCAUGCUG